CUAAAUGAGGGCCUGAUCCAAAGCCCCUUGAAAUCUAUGGGAGUCUUUCUAUUGACUUGAAUGGGCUUUGAAUCAGGCCCUGAAUAAG
rnacentral:pre_miRNA from 1 species